GGGCCGGAUCCUGGACCAUGGCGGCGGCGGGGGGUGCCGAGGGGCAGCGCGCGGCCCUGGAGGCGGCGGCGGCGGCAGCUCCUGAGCGGGGAGGCGGGAGCUGCGUGCUGUGCUGCGGAGACCUGGAGGCCACGGCGCUGGGCCGCUGCGACCACCCGGUGUGCUACCGCUGCUCCACCAAGAUGCGGGUGCUCUGCGAGCAGCGCUACUGCGCCGUGUGCCGCGAGGAGCUGCGCCAGGUGGUCUUUGGGAAGAAGCUUCCUGCCUUCGCCACCAUCCCCAUCCACCAGCUGCAGCAUGAGAAGAAAUAUGAUAUCUACUUUGCAGAUGGAAAGGUGUAUGCAUUGUACAGGCAGCUGCUGCAGCACGAGUGCCCGCGGUGCCCCGAGCUGCCGCCUUUCAGCCUCUUCGGGGACCUGGAGCAGCACAUGCGGAGGCAGCAUGAGCUCUUCUGCUGCCGGCUGUGCCUCCAGCACCUCCAGAUCUUCACAUAUGAGCGCAAGUGGUACUCGCGCAAGGACCUGGCCCGGCAUCGCAUGCAGGGUGACCCCGAUGACACGUCGCACCGUGGGCACCCGCUCUGCAAGUUCUGUGACGAGCGCUACCUGGACAAUGAUGAGCUGCUUAAGCACCUGCGCCGCGACCACUACUUCUGCCACUUCUGCGACUCGGACGGGGCCCAGGACUACUACAGGUGGGCCGGGCAGCAGACAGACAGAUGACCCUCCCUCCCCCAGGGCGUGGGGCUAACCGGGCUGCAGCCCUCCUACCGACACCCCAUCUCCUGCCAGCGACUAUGCCUACCUGCGUGAGCACUUCCGGGAGAAGCACUUUCUGUGUGAGGAAGGCCGCUGCAGCACGGAGCAGUUCACCCACGCCUUCCGCACCGAGAUCGACCUCAAGGCCCACAGGACGGCCUGCCACAGUCGCAGCCGCGCCGAGGCGCGCCAGAACCGCCAGAUCGACCUGCAGUUCAGCUACGCGCCACGGCACUCGCGCCGGAACGAGGGGGUCGUUGGUGGCGAAGACUACGAGGAGGUGGACAGGUACAGCCGCCAGGGCCGAGUGGCCCGGGCCGGCACUCGCGGAGCCCAGCAGAGCCGCCGAGGAAGCUGGAGGGAAGAAGAGGACCGAGAAGUAGCAGCUGCCGUCCGGGCCUCCGUGGCCGCACAGCAGCAGGAGGAGGCUCGCAGGAGUGAGGACCAGGAGGAAGGUGGUCGGCCCAAGAAGGAGGAGGCAGCGGCGCGGGGUCCUGAGGAUCCCCGUGGCCCCCGGCGCUCACCCCGGACUCAGGGCGAAGGCCCAGGCCCCAAGGAAACCUCGACAAAUGGUCCUGUAAGCCAAGAAGCCUUCUCGGUGACGGGCCCAGCCGCCCCAGGCACCCUCCCACCACCCAGCCCGAAGCUCAAGGACGAAGACUUCCCCAGCCUCUCUGCCUCCACUUCCUCCUCCUGCUCCACUGCAGCAACCCCAGGCCCCGUGGGGUUGGUGCUGCCGUACGCCAUCCCUGCCAGAGGCAGGAGUGCCUUCCAGGAGGAGGACUUCCCCGCCCUGGUAUCCUCGGUGCCCAAGCCUGGCACCACCCCCACCAGCCUCGUCUCUGCUUGGAACAGCAGCAGUAGCAGCAAGAAGGUAGCACAGCCCCCACUCUCGGCGCAGGCUACCGGCAGCGGCCAGCCCACCAGGAAGGCUGGGAAGGGGAGCAGGGGCAGCAGGAAGGGCGGCCUGCCCCUCACACAGGAGGAGGAGGGCGGCAGCCCGGCUGUGCAGGAGCUUCUAAGCACACGCCCCACGGGCUCCGUCUCCUCCACACUGGGGCCGGCCUCCAUCCAGCCCUCUAAGGUUGGCAAGAAGAAGAAAGUGGGCUCGGAGAAGCCGGGCACCACACUGCCACAGCCCCCACCCACUACCUGUCCCCCAGGGGCUUUGCAGGCCCCGGAAGCUCCUGCCAGCAGAGCCGAGGGGCCAGUUGCCGUCGUCGUUAAUGGACACACAGAGGGCCCGGCCCUGGCUCGGAGUACCCCCAAGGAACCCCCAGGGCUCCCAAGGCCUCUGGGGUCCUUCCCCUGCCCCACGCCACAGGAGGACUUCCCAGCGCUCGGUGGCCCCUGCCCGCCCCGGAUGCCGCCGCCCCCAGGCUUCAGCGCUGUGGUGCUCCUGAAGGGCACGCCUCCCCCACCCCCGCCGGGCCUGGUGCCCCCAGUCAGCAAGCCACCCCCCGGCUUCUCUGGCCUUCUGCCUAGCCCCCACCCGGCCUGUGUCCCCAGCCCUGCCACCACCACCAUGACAAAAGUACCCAGGCCGCCGCCUGCCCCACGGGCCUACCUAGUCCCCGAGAACUUCCGGGAGAGGAACCUUCAGCUCAUCCAGUCCAUCAGGGACUUCCUGCAGAGCGACGAGGCCCGCUUCAGCGAGUUCAGGAGCCACUCAGGGGAGUUCAGACAGGGCCUGAUCUCCGCAGCCCAGUAUUACAAGAGUUGCCGGGACCUGCUGGGGGAGAAUUUCCAGAAGGUCUUUAAUGAGCUGCUGGUCCUGCUGCCCGACACGGCCAAGCAGCAGGAGCUCCUGUCUGCACACACGGACUUCUGCAACCGCGAGAAGCCUCUCAGCACCAAGUCCAAGAAGAACAAGAAGAGCGCAUGGCAGGCCACCACCCAGCAGGCGGGCCUGGACUGCCGUGUGUGCCCCACCUGCCAGCAGGUGCUCGCGCAUGGCGACGCCAGCAGCCACCAGGCGCUGCAUGCUGCCCGGGACGACGACUUCCCCUCUCUGCAAGCCAUCGCCAGGAUCAUCACGUAGCUCCCGCCAGCGUGGCCAGAGCCGUCACACCAUGAGCGUCUUUACUCUUUCCUUUCCGGGCUGCCAGGCAGCCAGGUAAGGCCCGGUGAGGCCACCUGGCCUCUUGGUUGGCCAGGCCCACCAGGAAGUCCCCAGGACGGUCCACCCGCCCUGUUGGCACACUCAGGCGGGAGUCCACCCCUGCCUCAGUGGUGGGCCAGUCUCGGUUUGCAUUCUUGUGCUUUUGGGAGGCGCCAGGGGAGGGAAGGGCUGGGAUGCUGGGACCUGUUGUUGCUGGCAAAGCCAGAGGUCACAGUGGCCUGAUCUGGGCCCUCCCGAAGCUGAGAGUCAGAUGUCACAGAUGUGUGUUGUGUAAACAGUUGGCUGUUUCGUGCUUCAAGAAUGUUCAGGAUUAAAAGCAGACAAGAAAUUGUGCUACUUGAAGUUGAAUCUUUUUAUGAGACAAGCUGAAUCUGGGAUCUCAAAUUGCCUCUGACCUUUUAUAAGACAGUUUAUCUUCAAAUAAAUUUAUUUUGCAAUACCAUGCA
rnacentral:sRNA from 1 species